AAAAUAUUGUCAUCAUCCAAAAAAGAAGUUCUGUACCCAUAGCAGUAAGACCCCAUUCCAACUCCCCCCUCCAAAAUCCUUCCAUAGCCGUAGGUGAUGACUAAUCUACUUUCACUUAGUGUAUUUUCAAGACUUGUGUAUGUUGUAGCAUGUCAGUGCUUCAUUUCUUUUUAAUGCUGAAUAAUAUUACAUUGUACUUAUCCAUGUAUCAUUUGAUGGGCAUUUGAGUUUCCACUUUAGGGUUAUUGCGACUAAUUUGUCUAUGAACAUUUGUGUACAAGAUUGUAUAAGAACAUAUAUUUUUAUUUAUUUUGGGUAUGGAAUUUCAAAUCGUAUGGUAUCUCUUUGACAUUUUAAGGAAAAGUCAAACUCUUCUCAUUGGUACAAAAUUUUUCCACAAAAGUGAUUAUAUAAACUGUAAUUAUUUAAUUAUUUUUAAAGUGUGUCUUGGUCACAGAGACUUGACCUUAUUCAUAUUUAUUCUUAGCAAUGCUUGUUUAUUAAUCAUAAUUACAACUACACCCUCAAAAUAUUUCUUGGCUCAAACCAACUUUCCCUUCUCAAUUUUCAUCAUUUUGUGCUUUUGGUGGUUAAUAUUUACUUCCAACUAUUUACUUCUAGGAAGCAUCUCAGAAUCAUACACUGCUUAUAACCAAGAAGCAGAUUGGUUAGAAAAAAAAAAUCUUUAAAUUAGAAUUUUAAGAACAUCAAGCAGUCUGACAUUUUUUUCACAUAGUAGAUAACUUUUGACUAGAUUAUAGACACAGAUUAAAUUCAGGUGAUUCAUAUAAUUAAGGACAUUAGAAAGAGCUUUGCUCUCUCAAAUUAGCCUACUCUGUGCAUGGAAAACACACUGGUCUCCUUUAGUCUUGAAGGGUACAUGUGCAUCUUAAUAACCAUAAGGAGAUUAAUUUUCUAUAUUACACUCUUAAGCAUUACGCUUUUAAAUUCUGUUUUAUGUGGUGUAUUCAAACGAAAUAUGAAAAAUAGAAGCCUUGAAAUUAAGAAUUUUAAAUACCCCCAUUUCCUUCCCAAGUAACAAACUGGCUAUAAAAGCAAGUCUCUGUAUUAAUUUGCAAAUGAACAAGGACUUUAGAGUUCUAUCCACAUUGGUCCCAGGCUGCUGUUGUAUUAAUUAUUAGAUAGAUUAACUACACAUUGAGCUGGCACUUUUCAUUAAACAGCUGCUAAAACAUGAGGGAUGAACAAUGCCGUGUGCUUUAGCUUCAGAUGCAUGUACCCUGAGGCCAUUUAAUAUGCCUUAAUAAGCUUCAGUUUUCCAUGCAGACAAAUUUCUCUUCAUUGGUGAGUGUUCUGAGACACCAUAGGUUGGGAUGUGUCAGAGAAUGUUCUCAGCUUUCAAAGAACAAAUGUCAAAUAAUCGUACCUGCUUAAAUUUCUAAAUUCAUAUUAAAGAAUUUUAAUUAGAUUUAAGCAAUGAAAGUAGAGACAAUAACACACUAUAAUAUCAAAACCAAUAAAUGUAAGUAGUAAAGGCCAAAUGAGGUCAUAAAGGUGCCUGAUCCAAUGGGGUUUACAUCCUCAUAAGAAGUAAUACCAGAAUGCUCUCUUUCUCCACAUGCACACACCCCAAAAAGAACACACGAGGACAUUUUGAGAAAGAGGCCAUCUGCAACCACAGAGAGAGCUCUCACCAGGCACUAAAGCAGCUAAAAACUUGACCUUGGAUUUCUAGCCUCCAGAGCUGUGAAAAUACAAAUUUAUGUUGUUUAAGACAUACAGUCNAUUCUCGUCAUGGCUUGGUGGUUAACGAAUCCAACUAGGAACAAAGAGGUUGUGGGUUCGAUCCCUGGUCUUGCUCAGUGGGUUAAGGAUCCAGCAUUGCCAUGAGCUGAGCUGUGGUGUAGGUCGCAGACACAGCUCAGAUCACACAUUGCUGUGGCUGUUGUGUAGGCCGGCGGCUACAGCUCUCAUUAGACCCCUAGCCUGGGAACCUCCAUAUGCCACGAGUGUGGCCCUAGAAAAGACAAAAAAAAAAACA
rnacentral:lncRNA from 1 species